ensembl:misc_RNA Metazoa_SRP Metazoan signal recognition particle RNA
GCCAGGCAUGGUGGCACGUGCCUGUAGUCCCAGCUACUUAGGAGGCUGAGGCUGGAGAAUCGCUUGAGCCCAGGAGUUCUGGGCUUGAGUGCGCAGUGCCAGGUGUCCGCCCUAAGUUCAGCAUCAAUAUGGUGACCUCUCGGGAGUGGGUACCACCUGGUUGCCUAAGGAGGGGUGAACCGGCCCAGGUUAGAAAUGGAGCAGGUCAAAACUCCCGUGCUGAUCAAUAGUGGGAUCGAGCCUGUGAACAGCCUGCACUCCAGCGAGACCUCGUCUCUA